rnacentral:tRNA from 1 species
GCUGGUGUAGCUCAGUUAGGUAGAGCAGCUGAUUUGUAAUCAGCAGGUCGGGGGUUCAAGUCCGUCCACCAGCUCCA